rnacentral:rRNA from 1 species
UACGUAGGGUCCGAGCGUUGUCCGGAAUUACUGGGCGUAAAGAGCUCGUAGGCGGUUUGUCACGUCUGCUGUGAAAACUGGAGGCUCAACCUCCAGCCUGCAGUGGGUACGGGCAGACUAGAGUGCGGUAGGGGAGAUUGGAAUUCCUGGUGUAGCGGUGGAAUGCGCAGAUAUCAGGAGGAACACCGAUGGCGAAGGCAGAUCUCUGGGCCGUAACUGACGCUGAGGAGCGAAAGCAUGGGGAGCGAACAGG